UGGAGGGGAAGAUGAAUAUUUGACCAAAGAAGGGGACCUUGCUGAAAUGAAAGAUAUUAGUAGAAUUGGGAUUUCCAUAGAAUUGGAUGAGGCCCAUUUUUCUCACUUGGAACUUCCCUUAUUUUCGGUAGGAGGCAUGCACCGACCACGAACAAUGAAAUUUCGAAGGCAAAUUGCUGGGCAAUCUGUAGUAGUGUUAGUUGACAGUGAGGUAAGCCAUAAUUUCAUUUCUAAUCAGCUAGUCCAACGCUUGAAAUUACCAGUCAUAGUAACACAUCCUUCAAUGUCAAGUUAGGCAGCGAAUGUAAAAUUUCUUCUGCUAGUCUAUGUAAGCAAUUACAAUUGCAUUUGGCUAAUUUUAUUAUUAAUACUUGCUAUAUAUUUCCUUUAGGUGGAUUUGAUUUUAUUUUGGGUGUAGCAUGGUUAGAAACCAUGGGUGAGGUGUAGGCUAAUUAGAGUAAGAUGACAUUGAGA
rnacentral:misc_RNA from 1 species